GAUAAACGCUGGCGGCGUGCCUAAUACAUGCAAGUCGAGCGAACGGACGAGAAGCUUGCUUCUCUGAUGUUAGCGGCGGACGGGUGAGUAACACGUGGAUAACCUACCUAUAAGACUGGGAUAACUUCGGGAAACCGGAGCUAAUACCGGAUAAUAUUUUGAACCGCAUGGUUCAAAAGUGAAAGACGGUCUUGCUGUCACUUAUAGAUGGAUCCGCGCUGCAUUAGCUAGUUGGUAAGGUAACGGCUUACCAAGGCAACGAUGCAUAGCCGACCUGAGAGGGUGAUCGGCCACACUGGAACUGAGACACGGUCCAGACUCCUACGGGAGGCAGCAGUAGGGAAUCUUCCGCAAUGGGCGAAAGCCUGACGGAGCAACGCCGCGUGAGUGAUGAAGGUCUUCGGAUCGUAAAACUCUGUUAUUAGGGAAGAACAUAUGUGUAAGUAACUGUGCACAUCUUGACGGUACCUAAUCAGAAAGCCACGGCUAACUACGUGCCAGCAGCCGCGGUAAUACGUAGGUGGCAAGCGUUAUCCGGAAUUAUUGGGCGUAAAGCGCGCGUAGGCGGUUUUUUAAGUCUGAUGUGAAAGCCCACGGCUCAACCGUGGAGGGUCAUUGGAAACUGGAAAACUUGAGUGCAGAAGAGGAAAGUGGAAUUCCAUGUGUAGCGGUGAAAUGCGCAGAGAUAUGGAGGAACACCAGUGGCGAAGGCGACUUUCUGGUCUGUAACUGACGCUGAUGUGCGAAAGCGUGGGGAUCAAACAGGAUUAGAUACCCUGGUAGUCCACGCCGUAAACGAUGAGUGCUAAGUGUUAGGGGGUUUCCGCCCCUUAGUGCUGCAGCUAACGCAUUAAGCACUCCGCCUGGGGAGUACGACCGCAAGGUUGAAACUCAAAGGAAUUGACGGGGACCCGCACAAGCGGUGGAGCAUGUGGUUUAAUUCGAAGCAACGCGAAGAACCUUACCAAAUCUUGACAUCCUUUGACAACUCUAGAGAUAGAGCCUUCCCCUUCGGGGGACAAAGUGACAGGUGGUGCAUGGUUGUCGUCAGCUCGUGUCGUGAGAUGUUGGGUUAAGUCCCGCAACGAGCGCAACCCUUAAGCUUAGUUGCCAUCAUUAAGUUGGGCACUCUAAGUUGACUGCCGGUGACAAACCGGAGGAAGGUGGGGAUGACGUCAAAUCAUCAUGCCCCUUAUGAUUUGGGCUACACACGUGCUACAAUGGACAAUACAAAGGGCAGCGAAACCGCGAGGUCAAGCAAAUCCCAUAAAGUUGUUCUCAGUUCGGAUUGUAGUCUGCAACUCGACUACAUGAAGCUGGAAUCGCUAGUAAUCGUAGAUCAGCAUGCUACGGGAAUACAGAUCCCGGGUC
rnacentral:rRNA from 1 species